rnacentral:rRNA from 1 species
GACAGAGGUGCCGAGCGUUAGGCGGAAUCACUGGGCUUAAAGCGUGUGUAGGCGGACGGGUAAGUACCUUGUGAAAUCCCACGGCUCAACCGUGGAACUGCUGGGUAUACUGCCUGUCUUGAGUCAUCUAGGGGCGAGCGGAACAAAUGGUGGAGCGGUGAAAUGCGUAGAUAUCAUUUGGAACGCCAAUGGUGAAAACAGCUCCGCUGGGGAUGAUACUGACGCUGGAGACACGAAAGCCAGGGGAGCAAA